UACGUAGGGUGCAAGCGUUGUCCGGAAUUAUUGGGCGUAAAGAGCUCGUAGGCGGUUUGUCGCGUCGGCUGUGAAAACCGGAGGCUCAACCUCCGGCCUGCAGUCGAUACGGGCAGACUAGAGUUCGGUAGGGGAGACUGGAAUUCCUGGUGUAGCGGUGAAAUGCGCAGAUAUCAGGAGGAACACCGGUGGCGAAGGCGGGUCUCUGGGCCGAAACUGACGCUGAGGAGCGAAAGCAUGGGUAGCAAACAGG
rnacentral:rRNA from 1 species